UGAAAACACUUUCAGUUAAC
rnacentral:siRNA from 1 species